rnacentral:rRNA from 1 species
UACGGAGGGUGCGAGCGUUGUCCGGAAUCACUGGGCGUAAAGCGCACGUAGGCGGCUUCUUAAGUCAGGGGUGAAAUCCUGGAGCUCAACUCCAGAACUGCCUUUGAUACUGAGGAGCUUUAGUUCGGAAGAGGCGAGUGGAAUUCCCGGUGUAGCGGUGGAAUGCGCAGAUAUCAGGAGGAACACCAAUAGCGAAGGCAGCUCGCUGGGACGGUACUGACGCUAAGGCGCGAAAAGCGUGGGGAGCGAACAGG